rnacentral:rRNA from 1 species
GUGAGUAGUUCAGAGUUUGAUCCUGGCUCAGGACGAACGCUGGCGGCGUGCCUAACACAUGCAAGUCGAACGGAGCACUUCGGUGCUUAGUGGCGAACGGGUGAGUAACGCGUGAGCAACCUACCUUUCAGUGGGGGACAACAGUUGGAAACGACUGCUAAUACCGCAUGAUGUCAUCGGAGGACAUCCUCUGGUGACCAAAGCUUUAUGUGCUGAAAGAUGGGCUCGCGUCUGAUUAGCUAGAUGGCGGGGUAACGGCCCACCAUGGCGACGAUCAGUAGCCGGUCUGAGAGGAUGAACGGCCACAUUGGGACUGAGAUACGGCCCAG